rnacentral:rRNA from 1 species
AUGCCAGACUCCUACGGGAGGCAGCAGUGAGGAAUAUUGGUCAAUGGGCGGAAGCCUGAGCCAGCCAAGUCGCGUGAGGGACUAAGGCCCUGCGGGUCGUAAACCUCUUUUGCCGGGGAGCAGUGGUCCGGACGCGUCCGGACCGGGAGAGUACCCGGAGAAAAAGCAUCGGCUAACUCCGUGCCAGCAGCCGCGGUAAUACGGAGGAUGCGAGCGUUAUCCGGAUUUAUUGGGUGUAAAGGGUGCGUAGACGGAGAAGCAAGUUAGUUGUGAAAUCCCUCGGCUUAACUGAGGAACUGCAACUAAAACUACUUCCCUUGAGUGCUGGAGAGGAAAGUGGAAUUCCUAGUGUAGCGGUGAAAUGCGUAGAUAUUAGGAGGAACACCAGUGGCGAAGGCGACUUUCUGGACAGUAACUGACGUUGAGGCACGAAAGUGUGGGGAGCAAACAGGAUUAGAUACCCCGGUACAG